rnacentral:rRNA from 1 species
UACGUAGGGGGCUAGCGUUGUCCGGAUUUAUUGGGCGUAAAGAGCGUGUAGGCGGCCAGGUAGGUCUGCUGUGAAAACUCGAGGCUCAACCUCGAGAUGUCGGCGGAAACCAUCUGGCUAGAGUCCGGAAGAGGAAAGUGGAAUUCCUGGUGUAGCGGUGAAAUGCGCAGAUAUCAGGAAGAACACCCGUGGCGAAGGCGGCGU